rnacentral:lncRNA from 1 species
AGUUGGGAUUCUGUGGGAGCUGCGCGAGCUCUGACUGUUGGCUUCUUCAGUAGCAGUCGUAUUGUAGAGGAUCAGGUUGGGGCUGGAACACUAAAGACGGAGUGAAUGGGCCUCUGGGUCCAACAGCCUCUGCCAUGUCCAAAGUGGUUGGCUUGUCUUCCAAGAAGAGCCGGUGGCUCUUGCAAUCCUUGCGCGACCAGCAGCGACAUUCCCUGGGCACUGGGUUUGAAAGUGCCAAUAUCCUCCUCUCGCCCAAGUACCACCUCAAAGACAAGGAUCUAAGAAAAAUCCACAAGGCUGCGCGUGUCGGGGAUGCAGCAAGAGUGCAGCAGCUCCUGCUUGGGAAAUGCGGUGUGAAUGACAAGGACAAGAAGAAGAGGUGGCAGGGCCCAAGGGAUGGAGGCUGUGGAGGAGGCGGGGCUUGUGUGGAAGAAAGCCCCCAUACGUAAAACACUACUUAUGUCUCAAACGGAAAAUAUAUCUGCAUUUUAUAGAGAAUGUUUUCAAGCCAAGGAAAACACUUAACUCA